ACUGUUCAUUCUAUUGGAGGUGAUGUAGCGUUGUAAUGUCACACUGUUCAUUCUAUUGGAGGUGAUGUAACGUUGUAAUGUCACACUGUUCAUUCUAUUAGAGGUGAUGUAACGUUGUAAUGUCACACUGUUCAUUCUAUUGGAGGUGAUGUAACGUUGUAAUGUCACACUGUUCAUUCUAUUGGAGGUGAUGUAAUGUCACACUGUUCAUUCUAUUGGAGGUGAUGUAACGUUGUAAUGUCACACUGUUCAUUCUAUUGGAGGUGAUGUAACGUUGUAAUGUCACACUGUUCAUUCUAUUGGAGGUGAUGUAACGUUGUAAUGUCACACUGUUCAUUCUAUUGGAGGUGAUGUAACGUUGUAAUGUCACACUAUUCAUUAUAUUGGAGGUGAUGUAAUGUCACACUGUUCAUUCUAUUGGAGGUGAUGUAACGUUGUAAUGUCACACUGUUCAUUCUAUUGGAGGUGAUGUAACGUUGUAAUGUCAC